rnacentral:rRNA from 1 species
AUUGAACGCUGGCGGCAUGCCUAACACAUGCAAGUCGAACGGUAACAGGCCCUUCGGGGCGCUGACGAGUGGCGGACGGGUGAGUAAUACUUAGGAAUCUACCCUGUAGUGGGGGACGAACCCGAGGAAACUCGGGCUAAUACCGCAUACGCUCUACGGAGGAAAGCGGGGACCGGCAAGGCCUCGCGCUAUUGGAUGAGCCUAAGCCCGAUUAGCUAGUUGGUGGGGUAAUGGCCUACCAAGGCAAUGAUCGGUAGCUGGUCUGAGAGGACGACCAGCCACACUGGGACUGAGACACGGCCCAGACUCCUACGGGAGGCAGCAGUGGGGAAUAUUGGACAAUGGGCGAAAGCCUGAUCCAGCGAUGCCGCGUGUGUGAAGAAGGCCU